rnacentral:snoRNA from 1 species
UAUCCGAUGAUUAAACCACCUUCACUGCUGUUCACAUUAUGAGCGACUGAUUAUUUUAUGUCUGAAUGAGGAUA